AACGAACGCUGGCGGCAGGCUUAACACAUGCAAGUCGAGCGCCUCGCAAGGGGAGCGGCAGACGGGUGAGUAACGCGUGGGAAACUACCCUUUGGUACGGAAUAACACAGAGAAAUUUGUGCUAAUACCGUAUGAGCCCUUCGGGGGAAAGAUUUAUCGCCAUAGGAUGUGCCCGCGUAGGAUUAGCUAGUUGGUGUGGUAAUGGCGCACCAAGGCGACGAUCCUUAGCUGGUCUGAGAGGAUGAUCAGCCACACUGGGACUGAGACACGGCCCAGACUCCUACGGGAGGCAGCAGUGGGGAAUAUUGGGACAAUGGGCGCAAGCCUGAUCCAGCCAUGCCGCGUGAGUGAUGAAGGCCUUAGGGUUGUAAAGCUCUUUCACCCACGACGAUAAUGACGGUAGUGGGAGAAGAAGCCCCGGCUAACGUCGUGCCAGCAGCCGCGGUAAAAUGCGUACU
rnacentral:rRNA from 1 species